CAAACGACUCUCGGCAACGGNUAUCUCGGCUCAUGCAUCGAUGAAGAACGUAGCGAAAUGCGAUACUUGGUGUGAAUUGCAGAAUCCCGUGAACCAUCGAGUUUUUGAACGCAAGUUGCGCCCGAAGCCAUUCGGCCGAGGGCACGUCUGCCUGGGCGUCACAC
rnacentral:rRNA from 1 species